rnacentral:rRNA from 1 species
AGUCGAGCGGUAGAGAGAAGCUUGCUUCUCUUGAGAGCGGCGGACGGGUGAGUAAUACCUAGGAAUCUGCCUGAUAGUGGGGGAUAACGUUCGGAAACGGACGCUAAUACCGCAUACGUCCUACGGGAGAAAGCAGGGGACCUUCGGGCCUUGCGCUAUCAGAUGAGCCUAGGUCGGAUUAGCUAGUUGGUGAGGUAAUGGCUCACCAAGGCUACGAUCCGUAACUGGUCUGAGAGGAUGAUCAGUCACACUGGAACUGAGACACGGUCCAGACUCCUACGGGAGGCAGCAGUGGGGAAUAUUGGACAAUGGGCGAAAGCCUGAUCCAGCCAUGCCGCGUGUGUGAAGAAGGUCUUCGGAUUGUAAAGCACUUUAAGUUGGGAGGAAGGGCAGUAAAUUAAUACUUUGCUGUUUUGACGUUACCGACAGAAUAAGCACCGGCUAACUCUGUGCCAGCAGCCGCGGUAAUACAGAGGGUGCAAGCGUUAAUCGGAAUUACUGGGCGUAAAGCGCGCGUAGGUGGUUUGUUAAGUUGAAUGUGAAAUCCCCGGGCUCAACCUGGGAACUGCAUCCAAAACUGGCAAGCUAGAGUAUGGUAGAGGGUAGUGGAAUUUCCUGUGUAGCGGU